rnacentral:rRNA from 1 species
UACGGAGGGUGCAAGCGUUACUCGGAAUUAUUGGGCGUAAAGGGCAGGUAGGUGGUCUUAUUUGUCUGGGGUGAAAGCCUUAGGCUUAACCUGAGAAGUGCCUUAGAAACGGUAAGACUAGAGUCCUAGAGAGGGUCGUGGAAUUCCCGGUGUAGCGGUGAAAUGCGUAGAGAUCGGGAGGAACACCAGAGGCGAAAGCGGCGACCUAGAUAGGAACUGACACUCAACUGCGAAAGCGUGGGGAGCAAACAGGAUUAGAAACCCCAGUAGUCC